CUAGUUAUGUAUGUGUGUGUGUGUGUGUGUGUGUGUGUGUGUGCUGCUUCUCCCUCCGCCUGUUGGUCCAGAUGGCGGUGGACUCUUUGUGGUCAACUCAGGAGCAUCACCGGCGGGAAGGAGGCGGUUGCCAUGAUGCAGGACGCAGCUCUGAUCUGAACCGUCACAUCGUUCACACAGACGUCUGUCCAACCGGGCCCAAGAACCGGGUUUUGGUUUUGCUGGAGCUGAAUGAAGACUUUUAAUAGCUGUGAAUAAAUGCUCGUCUCUGGGUUCAA